rnacentral:rRNA from 1 species
GACGAACGCUGGCGGCGUGCCUAAUACAUGCAAGUCGAGCGAAGUUUUUCUGGUGCUUGCACCGGAAAAACUUAGCGGCGAACGGGUGAGUAACACGUAAAGAACCUGCCUCAUAGACUGGGACAACUAUUGGAAACGAUAGCUAAUACCGGAUAAUAGCAUUAACUGCAUGGUUGAUGUUUAAAAGUUGGUUUUGCUAACACUAUGAGAUGGCUUUGCGGUGCAUUAGCUAGUUGGUGGGGUAAAGGCCUACCAAGGCGACGAUGCGUAGCCGACCUGAGAGGGUGAUCGGCCACACUGGGACUGAGACACGGCCCAGACUCCUACGGGAGGCAGCAGUAGGGAAUCUUCCGCAAUGGGCGAAAGCCUGACGGAGCAACGCCGCGUGAGUGAAGAAGGAUUUCGGUUCGUAAAGCUCUGUUGUUAGGGAAGAAUGAUUGUGUAGUAACUAUACACAGUAGAGACGGUACCUAACCAGAAAGCCACGGCUAACUACGUG